GCUCCUCUCUGCUUUUGUGAUAUUUAAUUUGGUAAAUAAUGAAGCUAUUCAAAUAUACUUGUCAUUAUUAACAUGUUAACCACCAUGUGUUCCACAUGUGAUUCAUCACAAACCUCACACAACUGCCACAUGCACCACUGGGAGUACAUUUUCAUAAUUUCAGAAAAUAUUUUAUUCUGUAUCUUAGACAUGGUUUUGAGGAUAUUUAAAUAACACGAGCGAUAAAUAUUAAAGUUUAUUUGUGCAAUAUUUUUUUUAAAAUCCAAAAGAUGGGAAGAG